rnacentral:misc_RNA from 1 species
UAUGAAUCUGUUAAAACUGAUUAGCUUCUAAUGUGUGACUGUUAAUCUAUACAAGAUCCAGUUACUGUACCCAACGCCAUAUCAGGAUUUACAAGCAUUUUUACCCAUCCUUGUAUCAUCAUCAUUUAUCACUAUGGUGGUGCAAAAUGACCCAAGAGAAAGGGGGAAAAUAAUCUAUAAAUGCUUUGCCAUGCGUACUGUGAACCUAUACAACUUGUAAAUGAGCAAUAUACAAAAGAAAUUACAAAACUCAAAUGGUUAAUCCUCGAUCCGUUGAAUUUCACCCAUCAUGAUACGAUUACUUGUUACUUUAAAACCGAGGAGAGCAGGAUCAAUUUGCCUCCCUUUUUU